UACGUAGGGUGCGAGCGUUAAUCGGAAUUACUGGGCGUAAAGCGUGCGCAGGCGGUUUUGUAAGCCAGAUGUGAAAUCCCCGGGCUCAACCUGGGAAUGGCGUUUGGGACUGCAAGGCUUGAGUGCGGCAGAGGAGACUGGAAUUCCUGGUGUAGCAGUGAAAUGCGUAGAUAUCAGGAGGAAUACCGAUGGCGAAGGCAGGUCUCUGGGCUGACACUGACGCUCAUGCACGAAAGCGUGGGGAGCAAACAGG
rnacentral:rRNA from 1 species